rnacentral:rRNA from 1 species
ACAGCAGUCGCCGCGGUAAUACGUAGGUGGCAAGCGUUGUCCGGAAUUAUUGGGCGUAAAGGGCUCGCAGGCGGUUUCUUAAGUCUGACGUGAAAGCCCCCGGCUCAACCGGGGAGGGUCAUUGGAAACUGGGAAACUUGAGUGCAGAAGAGGAGAGUGGAAUUCCACGUGUAGCGGUGAAAUGCGUAGAGAUGUGGAGGAACACCAGUGGCGAAGGCGACUCUCUGGUCUGUAACUGACGCUGAGGAGCGAAAGCGUGGGGAGCGAACAGGAUUAGAUACCCCUGUAGUCCCUGUCUCUUAUAC